rnacentral:rRNA from 1 species
ACUCAAAGGAAUUGACGGGGGCCCGCACAAGCGGUGGAGCAUGUGGUUUAAUUCGACGCAACGCGCAGAACCUUACCCGGACUUGACAUCCACGGAAUCCCUCGGAGACGAGGGAGUGCCCGCAAGGGAGCCGUGAGACAGGUGCUGCAUGGCUGUCGUCAGCUCGUGUCGUGAGAUGUUGGGUUAAGUCCCGCAACGAGCGCAACCCCCGCCUUCAGUUGCCAGCAUUGAGUUGGGCACUCUGGAGGGACUGCCGGUGUCAAGCCGGAGGAAGGUGGGGAUGACGUCAAGUCCUCAUGGCCUUUAUGUCCGGGGCUACACACGUGCUACAAUGGCCGGUACAAAGGGCAGCGAAGGCGCGAGCCGGAGCCAAUCCCGGAAAACCGGUCCCAGUUCGGAUCGAAGUCUGCAACUCGACUUCGUGAAGUCGGAAUCGCUAGUAAUCGCGGAUCAGAACGCCGCGGUGAAUACGUUCCCGGGCCUUGUACACACCGCCCGU